CGGGGUGUAGCUCAGCCUGGUUAGAGCGCUGCGUUUGGGACGCAGAGGUUCGCCGGUUCGAAUCCGGCCACCCCGA
rnacentral:tRNA from 1 species